AGGGCACACAGAUGUAGUGCAUCAACAUCAGGGGAUAAAAGGCUGGGCUGAAGGACAGGAAGGGCAGAUGCUGGCAGCCUUCUGAAGUGGCAGGAUGUUACUCUGUGUGGGCAGAUGCCUGACGCUUUCUGGUGAGGAAAGAAAAAGGGACUAGUGAGUAGUGAAGAGAAGAAGCUGCCUUCAUCUCAGGAAAUGCAGCUGUCAUGUAAACUCUGAGUGUGUAGUGCCAUCUGCUUAAUACUUGAAGUUGCUUUUGAAUCACAGAAUGGAAGAAUCUCAGUUUGAGAAUUUUAAGAACUUCUCAAAAGAUGUAAAGCAGGAGGAACAGCCUUUAUUCCUGUACUCUGGUGUGUGUUGCACCACUUCAUACGUUCCAAAGGAAGGGGAGAAAAUAAGAUGUAUGGAUUCCGUAUAAAAUAUGGAGACUUAAAAAAACAAUGUAAUAAAGAUGAAUAAUGGAGAAAAAAGAACUAGUGGCAAUUCCCCGUGUUCAGCACUGGUUUCCAAAGCUACAUAGAAAACCUCCAGAAGGAAUGAGGCUGCCCAAGCCUGAAGUCUGAAAUGAGCAGGGGUUAAAGGGCACUUAAUGCAGGAGCUGUGUUUGAAUACAGACUGCCAUUGCCCUCUUGUCAAAAGUUAUUUCCCACUAGGUUUCAACCCCCAGACUGGAAAAACCUAACUACAAGCCUUGUUCUGCAAGCUACCUUGGGAAGCCUUCCUGGGGACUCAUUAAGUAUUCCUGCAGUAUGAAAGUUUUUUUCUUCUAGAAGAGUGAAAGAAUAGAAGGAGGUAGAGACACCUGACUAGAAAAUUUAUUCUGCCUUACACUUACACUCCUGGCAAACACAGCCGCCUCUUCAGAGAGCUGCCAAAUUCAUGUCCUGUAAGUCUCAGCUGCCCCCUUCUCAGCUGCCACAACUUCCAGCUUCCUUUUGACAACCUAGGAAAUAUCUCCUGUCUUCACUGUGAAAAACUAAGUGCAAAAAUUUGUCUUUACCACGGAAGAGAUGCCAUCAGUAGUACUGGAUGAAGAGGAGAGGUUGGAGGAUGGCGGUGCUGCCUAAUUUUGUCUCUGCCACAGAAGGGUGAAAUUGCAGAACAGAAGGAUGAAAUGGCAUCUAGAUCAAGCCCUCAACUAGGCAAAAAUAUCUGCCUAGAAGUAAAAGCAGCAGGAGAUGUAAUUGGAGAUACAGCUUUUUGAAGACACCAAGAAGUCUGACUUAUGAGUGAAGGCUGUUCUCAACCUCCUUGGAGUUUACAUAUUGAUCCAGGAUCCUGUUUUCUUGAAUGAUCCAGUUGUGAGUGACUCUUGUCAUGAAUAAAUGAGCAAUGACCAAUGAGGGUCAAGGUAAAAAUGGCCUGGGAGGAAGCCAAGUGAUAAGUUCCUUCAAAAUCUCUUAAUUAGAUUUUAAGAACAUAUUGGAUCUAGGAAAGAAGAGAAUUGAUCUUGUAACUUUCAUGUUACCUGAGUAUUCUGGGAUCCCUGCUGCCAGCUGCUGGUUUUGCUCCCUCUAAGUGCAUCCUGGUCUGAUUUAAAAAAGACAAACAAACCAAAACAGACCAAGCAGUCUGAAUCUCUGAAGAUAUUUCCAACAAAUGCUGUUCAGUGGUCAUGGCAAACCUUCAAUUAACAGAUUUGAUGCAACAUAUAUCAUUAUCCCAUUAUCAAGUCAUCCUUUUCUUCAUUGUCUUUUAAGGAGCUCCUGAAUCAGUGGACUUCAUGCAAAGCCUGGAGAAAUUGCCACUGUGGAGAUGCUUAGAAAUAAUGGACAUUAUCACAUGGGUGUAAUUAGAAAUCAUUCAUAUUAUCCUUCUAUGGCAGAUUUUCAGUACUCGGUGGGACCAUUUCUUCUUCCCUGAGAUGCAAUGGAGACAUAUAACGGGAGUGCCAAUACCAGCUGGGUCCAGCCAGGCAAGGAGCAGCAGAGAAAUUGCCACCAGAGGGAGAAGGUUGAGCCAAGCAAGUCUUCUCCACCACAUGUACAGCCACAAACUUGGAAGGGAGUGAAGUAGUUCAAACUAGGUAAUUUUGCAGUCUCCACCCCUUAUGAUUGUGAUUAAUUGGGACAGUGAUUAAAGAAAGAUAUUUUAUGAUUAAGAGGCAAACACGAAGUAGUGGGCUCAACUCUCUUCUGUCAAGAAAUCUACUGUGGAACAUGACUGAAAAGUCUUUCAUGUGUGAGCACUCAAAGGUGAUGAGUAUUCAAAACAUCCUGAGUCUUGUCACAGAGAUUUCUUUAUGCAUAUAUGAGACGUGGCUGUGCAUCCUGAAUACAACUCAGAUACCCAGACUGAGCAGAAGGUCCUUAUCUGCUGACAACAGAAAAUGUUUUGGUGGUACUUCUACCCACACCUGCAGAAGCCUGGCAGCAUCAGCCUCAUGACUUGGCAGAUCAUGGGAGGAGCCAGAGAAACCCUCUGGAAAACUUGAUUUUUAGACAUGUAUGAGUAGGAAUCCAGCCUGUGAUUUAUUUUUAAAUGUUGCUGGGAAGCAAGAGAAGUGUUUGCUAACAAAGGCUGCCCUGAGGCACUGAAGGUGUCAAAAUCUUUGUCAUUGGUUCCUUCAGUCACUGUAAGAGUAUUUUCAUCUGGAAUAUCAUGCUAAAUACCCUUCAACUUUGUGUGAGGAUGGACACAAUUCCCCUCUCAAAGAGGGAAAGAAUACUUUGCCUGAAGAUGGUUUUUAAAGUUUGAAUGUGAUUCUCAGCUAUAGAAGAAGUCAGUUUGGUUUUGGUUUCAGAGCAUCUGCAGACAGGGUUUGGCUGCUGAACCCACAAGCGGAUCCCUCAGUCUCACUUUUGCCUUCCUAAGUGAUACACACAGGAUUCCUACACCGCUUAGCAAAGCCAAUGAAGUUAUUUUUUAGCCAUCAGAGAACAGGAAGGACAGAAAUCUGCUAAGCAACCUCUGCUAUGCUGCAUGCCAGGCUAUAGAAUAGCUGUUUAACAGGCCCCCAUGGAGAACUGGAUUUACAGUCCUGUGCUUCCUGAGAUACAGUGCUUUUGAUAUGAAAACAAAAGAAAAAAGUUUAAGACAGAAAACAAUAUUCUGUUCAACUGUGAGGGGACAAAAACGUCUCAAUAACUGGAAAUGCAUCAUGAGGGGCCAUAGAGAACACUUAAAAUGCAGAUUUUAUAAUAAGGUUUCAAUGGAGGAAGAUUGUUGUGGGUGCUCCUUUGAUGGUGUGUUUCUCUAGACUAAACCUUUCCGUGUUCAUUCAUAUAGGAGAGAAGCUUAACCCCGACCCUUCUCCCAAAUCAAAGAAAAGGAAAAAUGAAGGAAUGUGAAGAGAAUAACGUGGAGACACCAAGGUCAGUGAGGAAGGAGUCAAGUCUGAGAUGGAGGGACACAUCUUAACCCUGGCCUGAAAUUCUGUGCUCCAGGGUACAACUGCACAGCUGAAAAGUGAAGGUGAAAAGAGAGUUAGCUGGAUAAAAUGUUUGUGAAUUUAGAAAUCUCAGUUCAGACCUGUUUGAAAAAGAAUACCUGCUCCACCUUGUCAGUAGCAUUGAUGAGCAUCUCAAGGAUGAAACUCUGAGUAACACUAUUAUCCUUCGAUGUGUAUUAUGAAGUGUUUAACUCUGAAGUUGGGGAACCACUUCUGGAGAGAUAUUGGAACAAGAGACUUAUGUACAGUUGAAACCCAGAUUUUGAGUAAAGUUGCAUUUUGAUUCAGAUAAAGUGCAGACAAAUGAGGAGAAGAACUCCAGUGAUCUUGCCAAGUGGAGCAGUAAACUGGAUAAUCUGUUGAGUCACCUGUGAUGUGAAUGCAAAAGGCUGGAGUGCAUAAAGCAUGGGAAAGUGAGACCUACAUUAAGGUGGUGUAGGUCAUGUGGUAGUUUCUGUCACAGAAAUAAGAAUGGAACUGUAAUGCCAAUGCAGGCUGUGAAAUGAUGAGUGAGUUACUGGAAUGUGAUGGUCUGGAAUCCACUUAUGGGUUUUCCUACCUAGAGAGAAAAGAGAACUGGCAAUCAAAAGAGAAGUACUGAAUAAGGCAGAAUGACGUAUUUCACUAUAAGAAGUGAGUGGGAAGGUACCUAUUGAAAGCCAAAAAGGUGUUGACUAAAUCAGAAGCAUUGAACUCUGCUUUCUAUAGCUUGGAAUGAUUGAGGAUUUUGUCUAGACAAAUUUACCAGGGCCUGGUUCAAAUCAUAUGAACAACUACAAAAUAUGAAUGAGCCUCUGUGGGUGUCAUAGCCAAAUUCAGUUCCAUCUGAAGUGAUUCUUCAUAAUUUACUUACAAACUGGAAGACAUAAGUUUGUCCAGGGAACGGGCUGCAUCAGAAUCAGAGAUCAUUCUUCAGCUGAGAUUAUGUACAAGAUGUCUUGAAUUUCCCUUCUUUGCAAACUGGGUACCAGCAUAGCUCUGAAGUGAAAAGUAAAUCAUCAGUCUCAUGAAGAAGCCAAGUCAACUCUGAUUUUACAUAACUUAUAUAAACUCAGAUAACCAGACUGGUGAUUUUCUAACUGUGCUUCAAAAUGUCCUUUGAGCAAAUGAGAUAUAAAAAGGAGUGCCUUGUGUUCAAUGAGGAUGGAUAAGCGGAUUUGUCUGGUUGGGAUAACCUUUUGGCACAAGUGGUUUGUCAGAAAUCAGCACCAUUUGACCUCUGGACAAAGGACCCUGGGAAAGUGAAGGCUGAAGAGUGAAAUAGAAGAGGAGUACUGUAGUUGGGGAGACACAAGUUAAGCAAGAGCUGAAGGGCAGAAGGCACAGCAGGAGACAUGGAAAGGCAAAGUGCUUCAUAGGAAGCUGUGAUCAGUAUUGGGAGUGCAAUGUAACAUUUCUUUAGUAAUUGCAGUCAUUCUACCUGUAUAGUUCUGAGAAAAAAUACAUCCCAGACAUGUAGAAGAUUGUUGACUCUAGGGUAGAUAAUAACCAGUAUGGGUCAGGUAGGUCACCAGUAUGAACUGGUCACUAACUAUAGGUGGUUACAGGUAAGAUGAAUUUUUUCAUCUUUUCUGCUGAAGAAUGAGCCAGAACUACUGCAAAGUCCACCUCUUUCUAUAAUGAAACCUCUCCUCCUGUCUAUUGAGGACUUGCAGAGAAUACUUUUCACACAUGGGUUCUGUCAAGCUGAUUUCUUGGGUUGUUGAUCUUGAAACAGUUUCCACAAAGAACUGUAGCUGAAAUACAGGACUAAGUCUAGUUCCUGUCUUUGCACAAAACAGAUUUUUCUGGCCCUAAAUGGUUAGUGUGAUAUAUUUAAGAAUAUAAAACCCAAUUUCUGUAUUUGGAAUUAGACCAGAAUAAAUAAAAACCAAAAUAUGCUUUGUGCUGCAUAGUUUAUAAUUGAGUUUGCUUCCAUUUUUUCUGUCUUGAACAUAUAGGUUAUAAAUUAAUGGGGCAGCAGACUGAA